rnacentral:lncRNA from 1 species
CUUUUCCAAUACUCUGUAAACGCCUGGCCCUCCAGCUCUGAGGAAUGGGCUCAGGACCGAGCAUGGGAGCUAGUUAGGUCCAGUAAACAGAAGGGAAGUACAGUGAGAGCUUCCAGGGAGAAUGUUCUUGUGUUUAUGGGAGAGCUUCAGGGAACACCCUUCUCUCUCUCUCACCGGACACUGCUGAGCCUGGAAACAGCUCCCAGCCUGCGGACAGAACUACAUACAGAGGAAGGCAGAAGAUGAAGGCACAGUCCAGGGGUGGGCAAAGGUUCUUUUCCUAGGGGAAAUAUAGCCAUGGACAGUGGGAUUCUGCCUAAAGCAAGCUCUUGGCAGGUGCAGGUGGUAAUGGGGACAGAAGGCAGCCAUAGCAAGGUCUUGGCCCUAGUCCUGUGCUUUGUUGAUCACACUCAUCCCUGCCUCUCUCUACUCAACACCUUGGGGGCAAUCUUCACACCUCAGAGCUCCUUGCCCACUGAUUUCUGACUGGAAUUACUCCACAGAAGGUGCUGGAGGAAGAUGGGAGCAGGAAGCUGCUGCCAUGUCCCCAUCAGUGCUCAGCAACCCGGGAAGGAGGCAGAGGCUUUGUGGCUUCUCUACCACUUUAGGCCAAAGACUGUAUCUAAGGCAGGAGGGGGCCUGAGGAGAGACACCACCAGCUUCAGGUGCCCUUACCUCACGUCGCUGCUGUUUGCCUGGAGCCAUAGCACAGCCAGAUGCCGAAGUUCUUCACACGCGGUGGUGAUUUCUAGACACCUGUCCACAAUACAGUAUCUCCCCAGACGACUUCUUCAUCUUCUUCAGCUGCCACACGAAAUACCAGAAGUGGGACUUGGCCACCACAUGGUUGGGUGAGAAGAUGCCCAUUCGGUAUAGUGGUGGUGUGUGGCACUUUCGGGAUGGGCAAGCAGCGCCCCACCACCUUGUACUCUCGAAGCAUGCUCGAGGCCUUCAGGGCGGUUGUUCCUCCUUGGCGGCGAGUCACAAAAGGA